UACGGAGGAUGCGAGCGUUAUCCGGAUUUAUUGGGUUUAAAGGGUGCGCAGGCGGCCUGUUAAGCCGGCGGUAAAAAUUCGGGGCUCAACCCCGUCCCGCCGUCGGAACUGGCGGGCUGGAGUGUGCGCGAGGAAGGCGGAAUGCGUGGUGUAGCGGUGAAAUGCAUAGAUAUCACGCAGAACUCCGAUUGCGAAGGCAGCUUUCCGGCGCUCCACUGACGCUGAGGCACGAAAGCGUGGGUAUCGAACA
rnacentral:rRNA from 1 species